UGUGGCUGACAAGUUUUCAGUUGUUGAUGUGGCUUUAGUGGAGAUUUUACUGAAUUAAAGCUAUGUCAGCAAUUAAAAAAAUGUCGGGUCUU